UACGGAGGGUGCAAGCGUUAUCCGGAUUCACUGGGGUUAAAGGGUGCGUAGGCGGUCUUCUAAGUCAGUUGUGAAAUACUUCAGCUUAACUGGAGAGGUGCAAUUGAUACUGGAAGACUUGAGUACUGAUGAGGUAGGCGGAAUGGACGGUGUAGCGGUGAAAUGCUUAGAUAUCGUCCAGAACACCGAUAGCGAAGGCAGCUUACUAAGGAGUAACUGACGCUGAGGCACGAAAGUGUGGGGAUCAAACAGG
rnacentral:rRNA from 1 species